CCUCUGUGAUGAGAAACAGAUGACGAGUCUGAUAUUCUUUGAUGUCAUACGAGGCAUUUGUCUGAGAGGA